rnacentral:rRNA from 1 species
GCCGCGGUAACACCGGCGGCCCGAGUGGUGAUCGUGAUUAUUGGGUCUAAAGGGUCCGUAGCCGGUUUGGUCAGUCCUCCGGGAAAUCUGAUAGCUCAACUAUUAGGCUUUCGGGGGAUACUGCCAGACUUGGAACCGGGAGAGGUAAGAGGUACUACAGGGGUAGGAGUGAAAUCUUGUAAUCCCUGUGGGACCACCUGUGGCGAAGGCGUCUUACCAGAACGGGUUCGACGGUGAGGGACGAAAGCUGGGGGCACGAACCGGAUUAGAUACCCGGGUAGUCCCAGCCGUAAACGAUGCUCGCUAGGUGUCAGGCAUGGCGCGACCGUGUCUGGUGCCGCAGGGAAGCCGUGAAGCGAGCCACCUGGGAAGUACGGCCGCAAGGCUGAAACUUAAAGGAAUUGGCGGGGGAGCACAACAACGGGUGGAAGCCUGCGGUUUAAUUGGACUCAACGCCGGACAACUCACCGGGGGCGACAGCAAUAUGUAGGCCAAGCUGAAGACUUUGCCUGAAUCGCUGAGAGGAGGUGCAUGG